CCUGUCCCUAGAAGCAUUGCAAGAGUGGCUGCUGUGUCACAUGUGAGUCAGUAGGGGAGUGGGGGGGGGGGGGCAGGAGAGUUGGCCCCAUGUGGUCAUGAGAGCAGAAGAGCUGGUCCUGCCCCUCACC